rnacentral:rRNA from 1 species
CAGUAGCCGCGGGAAUACGAAGGGGGCUAGCGUUGUUCGGAUUUACUGGGCGUAAAGGGCGCGUAGGCGGACUGAUAAGUCAGGGGUGAAAUCCCAAGGCUCAACCUUGGAACUGCCUUUGAUACUGUUUGUCUUGAGCUCGAGAGAGGUAAGUGGAACUGCGAGUGUAGAGGUGAAAUUCGUAGAUAUUCGCAAGAACACCAGUGGCGAAGGCGGCUUACUGGCUCGAAACUGACGCUGAGGCGCGAAAGCGUGGGGAGCAAACAGGAUUAGAUACCCGCGUAGUCCCUGUCUCUUAUAU